AAUAUAAUUUACUAAAAUGUCUGAUCUACAGGAGGCAUUGGGACAACUAAUUCGCCGACGAAAAACUAGCUUGGGAGACUUUGUUUAUGUCUAUGUUCCACUCCCUAACCUUGUAUGUGCAGAUCAAGAGAAAGCAUUGAAAGUGUUCAUGGCGGA